GACGAACGCUGGCGGCGUGCUUAACACAUGCAAGUCGAACGGAAAGGCCCUGCUUUUGUGGGGUGCUCGAGUGGCGAACGGGUGAGUAACACGUGAGUAACCUGCCCUUGACUUUGGGAUAACUUCAGGAAACUGGGGCUAAUACCGGAUCGGCGCUCCUGCUGCAUGGUGGGGGUUGGAAAGUUUCGGCGGUUGGGGAUGGACUCGCGGCUUAUCAGCUUGUUGGUGGGGUAGUGGCUUACCAAGGCGUUGACGGGUAGCCGGCCUGAGAGGGUGACCGGCCACAUUGGGACUGAGAUACGGCCCAGACUCCUACGGGAGGCAGCAGUGGGGAAUAUUGCACAAUGGGCGGAAGCCUGAUGCAGCAACGCCGCGUGCGGGAUGACGGCCUUCGGGUUGUAAACCGCUUUCGCCUGUGACGAAGCGUGAGUGACGGUAAGGGGUAAAGAAGCACCGGCUAACUACGUG
rnacentral:rRNA from 1 species